rnacentral:rRNA from 1 species
ACCCGGGCGAAUUCCAAGCUUUAAUCCUUGAAGGACCACCAGUGGCGAAGGCGUCUCACCAGAACGGACCUGACGGCAAGGGACGAAAGCUAGGGGCACGAACCGGAUUAGAUACCCGGGUAGUCCUAGCCGUAAACGAUACUCGCUAGGUGUCGGCCACGGUGCGACCGUUGUCGGUGCCGUAGGAGAUCUGGAUCCCC